rnacentral:rRNA from 1 species
UGGGGAAUAUUGCACAAUGGGCGCAAGCCUGAUGCAGCCAUGCCGCGUGUGUGAAGAAGGCCUUCGGGUUGUAAAGCACUUUCAGCGGGGAGGAAGGCGUUAAGGUUAAUAACCUUGGCGAUUGACGUUACCCGCAGAAGAAGCACCGGCUAACUCCGUGCCAGCAGCCGCGGUAAUACGGAGGGUGCAAGCGUUAAUCGGAAUUACUGGGCGUAAAGCGCACGCAGGCGGUUGAUUGAGUCAGAUGUGAAAUCCCCGGGCUCAACCUGGGAACUGCAUCUGAUACUGGCAAGCUUGAGUCUCGUAGAGGGGGGUAGAAUUCCAGGUGUAGCGGUGAAAUGCGUAGAGAUCUGGAGGAAUACCGGUGGCGAAGGCGGCCCCCUGGACGAAGACUGACGCUCAGGUGCGAAAGCGUGGGGAACAAACAGG